UGAGGAAUCUUGCGCAAUGGAGGAAACUCUGACGCAGCCACGCCGCGUGCUGGAAGACGGCCCUAUGGGUUGUAAACAGCUUUUGACAGGGAAGAACCUGGAGGUUUCGAUCUCCACUGACGGUACCUAUCGAAUAAGCACCGGCUAACUCCGUGCCAGCAGCCGCGGUAAUACGGAGGGUGCAAGCGUUGUCCGGAAUCAUUGGGUGUAAAGGGUGUGCAGGCGGAAGUCUAAGUCGGAGGUGAAAUCUUGCCGCUUAACGGUAAAAGUGCCUUCGAAACUGGAUUUCUUGAGUUCGGAAGAGGUUGGUGGAAUUCGUGGUGUAGCGGUGAAAUGCAUAGAUAUCACGAAGAACACCAGUGGCGAAGGCGGCCAACUGGUCCGACACUGACGCUGAGACACGAGAGCGUGGGGAGCGAACAGGAUUAGAUACCCCCGUAGUCC
rnacentral:rRNA from 1 species